UUGCUCAUUUCCCAAUCACUCCACCGGCCUCGCUCCGUUCCCACGGCUCUCUGCCCCGCCCCACUCACAUAUAUGUUAUAUUUUUAUUAAUGUAAAUUCUGUGUGACUUUGACGCAUUUAAAUGGCCGUGUGUUGAACAUUGGAGUCUCAUUCAAACACUGGAAUGGAGUAGUUGCCAUGGAAACGGGUGACAAGUAGGGAAUCCCUGACUCUCGCUGCUGUUUUCACUGCUUUCGGUAAGUUUUGUCCCUAAAAUCAAAGAUAUUACAUACAACUGUCCCCGACACUUCUCUUGCUUGUUUCUGACCCACUUCUUUUGAAUUUACUUCAUAUAAAUGGUUUAAUGUCUUUGAAUCCGUUUUAUUGUCAGUUUAAUUGAUAAUAAACUGAAUCACGUGUUUUGAUCUCUCAUGGUAAACAAAUAUUAACAAUUAACUAUUUAACUAUUGAUUCCAGGACCAAAAAAAAAAAAAACUUGGCAACAGGGGAAGCUCCAAGAUUUCACAAUUUCUCAUGGGAGAAGAACAGGGAAAGCUUCUUAAAUUUUUAAGAAGUCUUUGAGACUUCCAUAAGUAAGCAGUAUGUGAAAUAUUAAAUAAGUAAACCUAGAAAAAAAAAUGCUGUUAUUUUAAGAUAUAGUUUGCUGUAUUGUCUUCUUUUUCUUUUCCUCUCUGCUUUAGCUUGAUUCCUUUUAAUAAAACUGGCAUCGUAUACUAAAUAUGGUUGUCUCUGUGACAAACUGCUUACAGAAUGUUCCUAGAUUCUUCAGUGCUAAUGUCCUGUCAGACAACAUCUACAAAGAACAGUUAACAAUAUGGCUAGAUGUCCAUCCCAAGGUUACUAGAGAUUACGACAGUCACAGUUUGGAUCCAGCCUUCAGAAGAUGCCAACACUCACGAUGACUUCAGAUGAUGACAACUAUAGAUGAACAUACAAAGCUGCCAAAUAUUAUCCUGAUAUUGUAAUCAUUGCACUAAAAGAGUUAAGCUCCAACCCCAGUUAAGCAGACCUGGGCAGCUGAUCAAGGAUCACCAGAAACUCUGCAAAACAUUGGUCCUCCAGCCCAGGACUGGACAUCAGUGUUGUCUAAGCCAGCUACAAUGAAGCCACAAUUGCAGUUCAGAG